CAGUCGCCGCGGGAAAACGGAGGGAGCUAGCGUUGUUCGGAAUUACUGGGCGUAAAGCGCGCGUAGGCGGUUACUCAAGUCAGAGGUGAAAGCCCGGGGCUCAACCCCGGAACUGCCUUUAAGACUGCCGAGCUAGCAGGUGAGAGAGGUAAGUGGAAUUCCGAGUGUAGAGGUGAAAUUCGUAGAUAUUCGGAAGAACACCAGUGGCGAAGGCGGCUUACUGGCUCAUACUGGACGCUGAGGUGCGAAAGCGUGGGGAGCAAACAGGAUUAGAUACCCCCGUAGUCCCUGUCUCUUAUAA
rnacentral:rRNA from 1 species